GUGGAGAGAAAACGCGAGGAAGAUGAUGAACAAUGAGUGCACGUAACUGUUACCUCACGUUCACAGUGCUUUAAUGCAGACAUUUAUAAGUUAGUUCCCUCCAUAACAGACGUCUACAGAAGUCAGUUCCCCUAACAACAAACGUCUAAAGUGCUAUAGAAGUCGGAGUGACAGGAUUAGACGUCUAAAUGGAGUCAAAAAAUGACUUUUUAAAUUUUCGAACUGAGUAUUUAGAAGUCGGUUCCCGCCAUAACAGACAUCUGUAGACGUCAGUUCCCCUAACAACAAACGUCUAAAGUGCUUUAGAAGUCGGAGUGGCGGAUCAGACGUCUAAAUGUAGUCAAAAAGUGACUUUUUAAAUUUCUGGACUGAGUAUUUAGAAGUCGGUUCCCACCAUAACAGACGUCUAUAGACGUCGGUUCCCCCCCACAACAAACGUCUAACGCCAAAAAGUGACUUUUUAUAUUUUUGGGUUGAGGAUUUAGAAGUCAGUUCCCCCACAACAGACGUAUAAAUGACUUUAGAAGUCGGACCCCCUCAUAGCCGACAUCUAAAUAGUUGUUUUAUUUACAAAAAAUGCCACCGGUCAUUUUUUACGUCUAAUAUUUGAGGAUCAGACAUCUAAAAGGUGAUGUUAAAGGCCUUUUUUGCACUAGUGAUGAAGCUAUACAAGCAUCGUAGAGCUCCACAACGUCGAGCUCAACAACAUGGACCUCAACAAUCUUAUAAUUUCCUUUAAGACAUUUAAUUCUAAAAAUGAAACAUCCAACAAAUUAUCAUGUUUCAAACUUUUUGAGAUUUUCUUAAAUACUACUUUGGUCCUGAUAACAACAUGCGAACUGUAUAUGUCACACGCCAGUUCGUGAUUUUUUUGCUAUUUUUUUUUUCAAUUUUUUAAUUUGUUUUAAUUUUUUAGAAUUUUAAUUUUUUUUCAUUUCAAUCCCUAUAUUUUUUAAGAUUAAAUAUAUUUUUGGUCCCUAUUAUCAUGCAAUUUUGGUUUUAGUCCCUCUUCAAAACUUUGAUUUUUUUUCGUCUCUCUAUUUUUAAAAAGUCCCUGAUUUAGUCCUUUAUGACUAACAUUGUUAGUUUUUUUUUUCUAACAUGGCUAAGAGUGUGUCAUGUUUUCAAGA
rnacentral:lncRNA from 1 species